UACGGAGGGUGCGAGCGUUGUCCGGAAUCAUUGGGCGUAAAGGGCGCGUAGGUGGCCCGGUCAGUUCGUGGUGAAAGCGCGGGGCUCAACCCUGCGUCGGCCAUGAAUACUGCCGCGGCUGGAGCACUGUAGAGGCAGGCGGAAUUCCGAGUGUAGAGGUGAAAUUCGUAGAUAUUCGGAAGAACACCAGUGGCGAAGGCGACUGACUGGACAAGUAUUGACGCUGAGGUGCGAAAGCGUGGGGAGCAAACAGG
rnacentral:rRNA from 1 species